rnacentral:ncRNA from 1 species
AUACUCGCCCCCGUUUUGGGUGCCUUGCCUCACGAUCGUGGGGCGGGUGAAACGGGAAGCCGGUGACUCUGCAGACGCAGACAUUCCGGCGCAGCCCCCGCUGCUGUAAGCCUGACGACUCCACCUCACGCCACUGUGCAUCGCAUGGGAAGGUUGGUGGAGAAGAUUGAAGGCGAGCCAGAAGACCGGCCCAAAUCAAACGUAGUAC